rnacentral:tRNA from 1 species
GGGUCGGUCGCGCCAUGGGGCGCAGCUGGCGGUAAUCCAGCCGUCUCCCGACACAGGGGGUUCGAUUCCUCCCCGGCCCACUA